AGUGAACGCUGGCGGUAGGCCUAACACAUGCAAGUCGAACGGCAGCACAGUAAGAGCUUGCUCUUACGGGUGGCGAGUGGCGGACGGGUGAGGAAUACAUCGGAAUCUACUUUUUCGUGGGGGAUAACGUAGGGAAACUUACGCUAAUACCGCAUACGACCUACGGGUGAAAGCAGGGGAUCUUCGGACCUUGCGCGAUUGAAUGAGCCGAUGUCGGAUUAGCUAGUUGGCGGGGUAAAGGCCCACCAAGGCGACGAUCCGUAGCUGGUCUGAGAGGAUGAUCAGCCACACUGGAACUGAGACACUGUCCAGACUCCUACGGGAGGCAGCAGUGGGGAAUAUUGGACAAUGGGCGCAAGCCUGAUCCAGCCAUACCGCGUGGGUGAAGAAGGCCUUCGGGUUGUAAAGCCCAUUUGUUGGGAAAGAAAAGCAGCAGGUUAAUACCCCGCUGUUCUGACGGUACCCAAAGAAUAAGCACCGGCUAACUUCGUG
rnacentral:rRNA from 1 species